rnacentral:rRNA from 1 species
AGUCGAGCGAGCUUGCCUAGAUGAGUUUGGUGCUUGCACCAGAUGAAACUAGAUACAAGCGAGCGGCGGACGGGUGAGUAACACGUGGGUAACCUGCCCAAGAGACUGGGAUAACACCUGGAAACAGAUGCUAAUACCGGAUAACAACACUAGACGCAUGUCUAGAGUUUAAAAGAUGGUUCUGCUAUCACUCUUGGAUAGACCUGCGGUGCAUUAGCUAGUUGGUAAGGUAACGGCUUACCAAGGCAAUGAUGCAUAGCCGAGUUGAGAGACUGAUCGGCCACAUUGGGACUGAGACACGGCCCAAACUCCUACGGGAGGCAGCAGUAGGGAAUCUUCCACAAUGGACGCAAGUCUGAUGGAGCAACGCCGCGUGAGUGAAGAAGGGUUUCGGCUCGUAAAGCUCUGUUGGUAGUGAAGAAAGAUAGAGGUAGUAACUGGCCUUUAUUUGACGGUAAUUACUUAGAAAGUCACGGCUAACUACGUGCCAGCAGCCGCGGUAAUACGUAGGUGGCAAGCGUUGUCCGGAUUUAUUGGGCGUAAAGCGAGUGCAGGCGGUUCAAUAAGUCUGAUGUGAAAGCCUUCGGCUCAACCGGAGAAUUGCAUCAGAAACUGUUGAACUUGAGUGCAGAAGAGGAGAGUGGAACUCCAUGUGU